rnacentral:rRNA from 1 species
UACGUAGGGGGCAAGCGUUGUCCGGAUUUAUUGGGCGUAAAGAGCGUGUAGGCGGUUUGGUAGGUCCGCUGUGAAAACUCGAGGCUCAACCUCGAGACGCCGGUGGAAACCAUCAGACUAGAGUCCGGAAGAGGAGAGUGGAAUUCCUGGUGUAGCGGUGAAAUGCGCAGAUAUCAGGAAGAACACCCGUGGUUAAGGCGGCUCUCUAGUACGGUACUGACGCUGAGACGCGAAAGCGUGGGGAGCGAACAGG